CCAAGGUAGUGCACUAUAUAGGGAGUAGGUUAAUGUUACAGACUCCAUGUGGGCCCUGGUCCAAGGUAGUGCACUAUAUAGGGAGUAGGUUAAUGUUACAGACUCCAUGUGGGCCCUGGUCCAAGGUAGUGCACUAUAUAGGGAGUAGGGUAAUGUUACAGACUUCAUAUGGGCCCUGGUCCAAGGUAGUGCAC